UAAUACGGAGGGUGCAAGCGUUAAUCGGAAUUACUGGGCGUAAAGCGCACGCAGGCGGUUUGUUAAGUCAGAUGUGAAAUCCCCGGGCUCAACCUGGGAACUGCAUUUGAAACUGGCAAGCUAGAGUCUCGUAGAGGGGGGUAGAAUUCCAGGUGUAGCGGUGAAAUGCGUAGAGAUCUGGAGGAAUACCGGUGGCGAAGGCGGCCCCCUGGACGAAGACUGACGCUCAGGUGCGAAAGCGUGGGGAGCAAACAGGAUUAGAUACCCUGGUAGUCCACGCUGUAAACGAUGUCGAUUUGGAGGUUGUGCCCUUGAGGCGUGGCUUCCGGAGCUAACGCGUUAAAUCGACCGCCGUGGGGAGUACGGCCGCAAGGUUA
rnacentral:rRNA from 1 species